AUGGAAAUUAUAUUAGAACUUCAGCAAAGUGCACAGCUGCAUAAUAGAGAAGCCGGCACUCAGAUUGACAGGCAAAUAAGCCAGCUUGUGGAAGGGGCCUCUGGGUGGCAGCUCUGGGCUUUUGGGUGUUGGACAACCAUAGGCAAAACUGAAAUGGAACAGGGGCAGAAAAUAGCACACUUUUACUCUACGCAACUGUUGCUUUUUCAUGAUCUUCCUGAGUUUUACUCGGAUAAUUUUCCAAAUAGAAUUCCAAGCAUUCUAUUCAAAUGGUUAUUGAUUAUUAAAAUGGCACUGAAAUGAGAUAGCUCCAAAAUAACACCUCUAGUCAUCUCAAAGAUUCACGAUGAUUGCCUAAGGGAGAACAUUCUCUCACACUAUGGCUAGAAGAGAAGUAAAGGUAAAUUAAAAGUAAUUAUGAAAUCAAUCACUAGGAAAAAUACAAUUGUGAAUAAAAUAAUGAGAAAAUAACACAUUAAUGACUAGAAGGUAAUUGGUGAGUUUUAAUGUUUUGUUGAGCUCUGGAUUCUAAACCUUUUCUAAAACCUAAAUCAGUUAAUAUGGUUGAAGAACAAAUGCCUUAAGAUUAAAAAACUGUUUUUAUAUUUGAAACCUACCAUUGAUUUCACAAUCAAGUGCCAUAUUGCAGGAAUAUUAUUAGCUCAACAAACAUAUUGACUGAAAAAAGUUAGUUUUGAUCAAAUUGGCACUCCAUUGUCAGUGUUCAUGUUCUGCAUAUUCAGCCUUCAAAUGAAAUUUUGAUCAUCUCCAAAAUUUAGAUAACAAACUAUCAUCUGAUAUGGUCUGAGUUUGCAUCCCCACCCAAAUCUUACAUUUAAUUGUGAUCUGCAGUGUUAGAGGAGGGCCCUGCUGGGAGGUGAUUGCGUCAUAGGGGUGGUUUCUAAUGGUUUAGCAGCAUGCCCCUAGUGGCUCCUUGUUUAAUAGUGUGUGGCACUUACCCAAUCACUCUGUCUCAUCCUCCUGCUUCAGUCAAGUAGGACAUUCCAGCUUCUCCUUUGCCUUACUCCAUGAUUGUAAGUUUCCUGAAGCCUCCCCAGACAGGCUUCCUGUACAGCCUUCAGAACACUGAGCCAAUUAAACCUCUUUUCUUUAUAACUUACCCAGUCUCAGGUAGUUCUUUACAGCAAUAUGAGAAUGGACUAAUAUACCAUUUAACCUACAGAAUGAUUCAUUUGUUUCUUUAUAGGCUACUUAGAUCUUGAUAGUAAUUUGGAAUGCUGUUCAUCUCUGAUUUGAAAAAGAUUUGGGUUGCUUGUAAUUAGUCAUUUUCUAACUCAUUUACUUCCUGGUUCUCAUAGACAAAGCCAAGGAAUAUUAAUCUAUAUAGUCAGGAUAAUGCUUUAGGUCUUAGAAUCAGACAGAAUCAAUGAGAAUGAACUUAUAGAUAUUUACAAUCUUAGUUGCAAGUCUCCAUCAUUUUACAGGUAAAACCUAAAUUCUUCCUUUUAAAAUUUCAAAUAAUUCCUUUUUAUUCUGUUCUCAAUGGAACAUUGUGUAUGUUUACAUAAAUCCAAUCCUUUUCUUUUUUCCAUCAAAGAAGUCCAAACUUCAUCUCUUUUGUCUUUGUUGAUUAAUGUUUCCCAAGUUCUCAGAAUGCAGCUUAAAUAAAAAGCACUAAGGAAGGAUCAUUUAACAGCUUAGACAAAUUUGUAUUCAAGAGCAGAUGAUUCUGGGAGGGGCUGGAUUUCUCAGAACAGGAGUUCUUGUGGGAGUAUUUGUGGGGUGGGUGAGGUGCUGCAGCAGAAAUAGGAUGAAUAUUUUAAAGAACCUCACUUCCUGCCCUUUAUAGUCAACCAAAAAGUGGAACAUUACUUUCUCAGGUAGUGUGCUUUGACUCCAGAGGCUAGGCCAUGUCUCCCUGUUAAAGUGCUCACAGCUCCCUGUCUGACAUUUCUCAAUGAUGCCUACAUUAUAUUUUAUUCUCCUUUAUGGACAGGGAAAAUAUUAAACAGUAUGUGGGUUAAACAUGGUAAAAAUAAUUAAGAUCGUAAUUACAUCUGUGAAAAAUCUUAAAGCAUAUUAUGGAUCAGCAAAACACCAACAUAUUAGAUCCUCUCUCUCUAUUCGCAUCUCUAGCUCUUUAAAUAAUUGUAUAAUAGGCAGUUCACCCUAUUUGUGAUUACUGGAAAUACAGCUUCCCUUUCAUCAGGAAGGAAAUUACGUUCUGUGCACAUGCACGCGUGCACACACACACACGCACACAUACACAUUUUGCCAAUGAAUUCUCCCAUGAGGACAAGUGUAGCCAGCCACUUUUCAGGGCAUUACACUGGGAGAUUAAGUGAGUAAGUGAAAGGAGGGAGGAGGGGACACAUAGCUGUGUGUUUAUCUAUACCCACCUAAAGUUCCAUUUUAUUAUUCAAAAAAAGAAUGUGGCUAAGAUACAGGCAUAAAUAAUAAACUGUUUCAGUCUUUUGUCCAUUUUACAUGAAAUAAUUCAUGUAAUAUCCAAUAUUCUUAAUCUAUAUUUUGUAUAGUUCAUACAAUUGUACUAUGUUUCUAAACAGCUUGUGUAGUAUUGACUAAAUUCAAUUAUUUUAAGCCCACCUUUUAAAAACAUGCUCUUUGUUUUGUUUCAUCUUGGUGUACACUGACACUGUUUGGCUCUGUGCUCCCAAAUCUCAUCUUGUAGCUCCCAUAAUUCCCACGUGUUGUGGGAAGGACCUGGUGGGAGAUGAUUGAAUCAUGAGGGUGGGUCUUUUCCAUCCUUUUCUUGGGAUAGUUAAUGGGUCUCACAAGAUCUAAUAGCUUUAAAAAUGGGAAUUUACCUGCACAAGCUCUGUCUUUGCUUGCCACCGUCCACAUAAGAUGUGACUUGCUCCUCCUUGCCUUCCACCAUGAUUAUGUGGCUUCUCCAGUGACAUGGAACUGUGAGUUCUCCAUUAAACCUCUUUCUUUUAUAAAUUGCCCAGUUUUGGGUAUGUCUUUAUCAGCAGCAUGAAAAUGGACUAAUGCAGUAAAUUGGUACCAAUAGAAUGGGGUGUUGCUGAAAGAUACUGGAAAAUGUGGAAGUGACUUUGGAACUAAGUAACAGGCAAAGGUUGAAACAGUUUGGAGAGCUAAGAAGAAGACAGAAAAAUGUGGAAAAGUUUGGAACUCCUGGAGACUUGUUGAAUAGCUUUAACCAAAAUACUGAUAAUGAUAUGGACAAUGAAAUCCAGGAUAAAGUGGUCUCAGAUGGAGAUGAGGAAUUUGUUUGGAACUGAAAUGAAGAUGACUCUUGUUAUGUUUUAGCAAAGAGACUGGUGGCAUUUUGCCCCUGCCAUAGAGAUUUAUGGAACUUUGAACUUGAGAUAGAUGAUUUAGGUAUCUGGCAGAAGAAAUUUCUAAGCAGCUUCAAGAGGUGACUUGAGUGCUGUUAAAGGCAGUCAGUUUUAUAAGGGGAGGAAAGCAUAAAACUUUGGAAAAUUUGAAGACUCACAAAAGAAAAUCCCAAUUUUUGAGGAGAAAUUCAAGUUAGCUACAGAAAUUUGCAUAAGUAAUGAGGAAACAAAUGCUAAUUCCCAGGACAGUGGGGAAAAUAUCUACAGGACAUGUCAGAGGUCUUCACAGCAGCCUCUUUCAUUGCAGGCCUGGAGACCUAGUAGGAAAAAGUGGUUUUGUCGGUCUGGCCCAGGGUUUUCGUGCUGUGUGCAGCCUGGGGACUUGGUGCCCUGUGUCCUAGCCAUUCUAGCCAUUGCUAAAAUGGGUCAUGGUACAGCUCGGGCUGUUGCUUCAGAGGGUGGAAACCCCAAGCUCUGGCAGCUUCCAUGUGGUGCUGAGCUUGCUAGUGCACACAGAAGUCAAGAACUGAGGUUUGGGAACUUCCACCUUGAUUUCAGA
rnacentral:lncRNA from 1 species